UUGUAUGGUUGGUGGAGUGUUGGCGUUGGGGAACAGAUGUAGGCCCAACGUUGGUCCAACGUUCAUUUACGUUGGCAUGAAAGCUAAACCAACGGUGUCGGACAUGUGAUAUUGGCCAAACGUUGGUCCAACGUUCAUUUACGUUGGCAUGAAAGCUAAACCAACGGUGUUGGGCAUGUGAUAUUGGCCCAACGUUGGUCCAACAUUCAUUUACGUUGGCAUGAAAGCUAAACCAACGGUGUUGGGCAUGUGAUGUUGGCCCAAUAUUGGCCCAUUGUAGUUACAUGUUGACAAGGUACGCGAUUUGGUGUUGGACAUUAAGAUGUUGGCCCAACAUAGGUCCAACCGAGUAAAUGUUGACAUGGAUUAAGACCUUUGUGUGUUAAAUAUGAAAUGUUGGCCCAACGUAGGUCUAACUGAGUACACGUUAGUGGCAAAACAUUGCCACUUAUUGUUGGUUAUUCAAUGUUGGCCCAACGUUGGCCCAGCUUAAUAAAUGUUGACAAUAUAAUGAUGCAUUGCUCUGUGUUGGGCGUGCUUGACUGAACUGGAGUUGGUCCAAUAGUAGGAAUACUGGGAUUACUAGUACAUGUACAGGUAGCCUGUAAUGUUUGAGAUGAAAUGCUGGUCCAACGUUGGCCCAAUGUUGCGAAAAGUAUUCAUCAAUUUAGAUUUAUCUAUUGUAAAUCGAUGGUAAUGUAAUAAGCAACUCAUUAUAAACAUGUGAUCUAUAUUAUAUAUUGAAUGGAAAUUAUGAGACAAUCCUUAUAAGUCUGUGAAAUACAUAUAGUAAUUUUAUAUCUUGGUAGAUUCUAUAUUUAGCAUCAUUGAAUCAAAUUUAAAGUGCUGUGUUUUGCAAGUUUUGGGCUCCAAAAUAAAUAGGUCACUGGUGAAAUUCACUGGCUCGGCAGGUGACUCAUAGGUCUCCAAGGAAACCGUCAUCUUUAAAUCAGUUUUUUUUAACCGCGCACUUUAACAAUCCAAAGCGUAUGUGUCUUUUUAAGUGAAAGCAAGAAUUUUAAUCCUUUCAAUGAAUUGGCGGGCUUGAACAGAGCAGAUAUGUCCGGAUCUGUAAGUGAACGCAAGAAUGUUAACCAGUGAAAUGAAUUGCCGGGAUGGAAAAACCCUCUUCACUCUGAAACUAUUGAUGUGGCAUUUCUG